rnacentral:rRNA from 1 species
UAGGGAAUAUUGGACAAUGGGUGAGAGCCUGAUCCAGCCAUGCCGCGUGCAGGAUGACGGUCCUAUGGAUUGUAAACUGCUUUUGUACAGGAAGAAACAGUUCUACGUGUAGAACCUUGACGGUACUGUAAGAAUAAGGAUCGGCUAACUCCGUGCCAGCAGCCGCGGUAAUACGGAGGAUCCAAGCGUUAUCCGGAAUCAUUGGGUUUAAAGGGUCCGUAGGCGGUUAGAUAAGUCAGUGGUGAAAGCCCAUCGCUCAACGGUGGAACGGCCAUUGAUACUGUCUGACUUGAAUUAUUAGGAAGUAACUAGAAUAUGUAGUGUAGCGGUGAAAUGCUUAGAGAUUACAUGGAAUACCAAUUGCGAAGGCAGGUUACUACUAAUGGAUUGACGCUGAUGGACGAAAGCGUGGGUAGCGAACAGGAUUAGAUACCCCGUAGUCCCUGAGCGGGCUGGCAAGGCGCAU